AUGGCUGUGGACGACACGAAGCCCUCUUCUUCGCCAGCACUAGUGGCGUCAGAGGCGGUGAAGGCCAUCAGCUGCGGACACCGUAUGACCAUGGCCCAGCACAGGCAGCCAUCUCCGGCCAUGUCACGCCCAGCCCUGCAACACCACGUCGGCGAGGCAUCGAGUUCAGUGGCGAUGAUUGUCUCAAGGUUGAAGCUGGAGUCCAACUCUGAGCUCCAGGGGAGCGACCAGCUCGUGGUCGUGGUGUCUAAUUGCUGCAAGUAUAGUCAUCCUCCCCAUCUCUCUUCUCGUGCACAUCUUCCUGAUCAUCAUGUCUCUGAAUCCCACAUGUAUGUUCUCUCUUCAUUCACUAUUCUUAUAGGAUUAUUCGACAAGGAAUCUAUUUUCUCAAAUAUCCAUAGUUCACAGGGACUGGUGAUUGGUUCGCAAAACAUUUGA
rnacentral:rRNA from 1 species